UUGAGCUAUUAUUUGACUUUGGUUGAACUUUCUUUCCAUGUAAGGACAAUCAUUCGAAUAUUCUUAUCUUGAACAUUUAUAGCGCUUUUAUUGGCUUCUUAUUUUCUUUAUUUUUAUCGUAAAUCGUCCCUUUCUUAAAAUAAAGGAUGUUUUCUUGAUGGUAGGAAUGAUCGCGCUCCUGUUUAUGUCACUGAAAACUGUAUUGGUUUCAAUUGAAACGACCACGCUAAAGCGUUUAUUUUUGCUGGAGUACGUCCUCAACGUCAAAUGUCGUCACGUCAAGUAAAUCACAUGAAAAAUGACGUCAUAUCGGAUAAAUCACCUGACAAAUGACGUUACACAAGUGUUGGCGCUUGCUUCGAGCGACAGAGUUUGAUUGUAUCCAGCAAAGAUUAGUAACUGUAGAUAUGUAAACUGUAAUUAGAAGACGAAAAAUAAUGAAGAGGCUUCUAAUAACGCUUUUUAUUUGUGUAUAUGCCUCACUGUUACACGUUUGGACAUUGGAAUACACGUCUUCUUGGCAUGGAGCUCCCUUAAGUGAAAAAACACCAAGGUUUAUUCUGUUCGGAAAGUCGUUGAAGGAAUGCUUGAACGAAUGCGCGUUGCGACCAUGGUGCAAAGUUGUCGGUUAUCAUAGGUAUGGUUUUUGUGAAAUUUUUUUCGGAAAAAUUUCUUCUGACGAAGCAAAAUGCAGCAAAGACGAUUGUUUAGAGCAAGACGCGAGCAUGAUGUUCGUCGAAAGAGAAGCCUUAACAACUAAG